rnacentral:rRNA from 1 species
GGUUAAGCGACUAAGCGUACACGGUGGAUGCCCUGGCAGUCAGAGGCGAUGAAGGACGUGCUAAUCUGCGAAAAGCGUCGGUAAGGUGAUAUGAACCGUUAUAGCCGGCGAUGUCCGAAUGGGGAAACCCAGUGCAAUUCGUUGCACUAUCGUUAACUGAAUACAUAGGUUAACGAGGCGAACCGGGGGAACUGAAACAUCUAAGUACCCCGAGGAAAAGAAAUCAACCGAGAUUCCCCCAGUAGCGGCGAGCGAACGGGGAGCAGCCCGGAGUCUGAAUCAGCUUGUGUGUUAGUGGAAGCGUCUGGAAAGUCGCAGGGUACAGGGUGAUACUCCCGUACACUAAAACAUACAGGCUGUGAACUCGAAGAGUAGGGCGGGACACGUGGUAUCCUGUCUGAAUAUGGGGGGACCAUCCUCCAAGGCUAAAUACUCCUGACUGACCGAUAGUGAACCAGUACCGUGAGGGAAAGGCGAAAAGAACCCCGGCGAGGGGAGUGAAAAAGAACCUGAAACCGUGUACGUACAAGCAGUAGGAGCCCACUUGUUGGGUGACUGCGUACCUUUUGUAUAAUGGGUCAGCGACUUAUAUUCUGUAGCAAGGUUAACCGUAUAGGGGAGCCGCAGGGAAACCGAGUCUUAACUGGGCGUUAAGUUGCAGGGUAUAGACCCGAAACCCGGUGAUCUAGCCAUGGGCAGGUUGAAGGUUGGGUAACACUAACUGGAGGACCGAACCGACUAAUGUUGAAAAAUUAGCGGAUGACUUGUGGCUGGGGGUGAAAGGCCAAUCAAACCGGGAGAUAGCUGGUUCUCCCCGAAAGCUAUUUAGGUAGCGCCUCGUGAAUUCAUCUUCGGGGGUAGAGCACUGUUUCGGCUAGGGGGUCAUCCCGACUUACCAACCCGAUGCAAACUACGAAUACCGAAGAAUGUUAUCACGGGAGACACACGGCGGGUGCUAACGUCCGUCGUGAAGAGGGAAACAACCCAGACCGCCAGCUAAGGUCCCAAAGUCAUGGUUAAGUGGGAAACGAUGUGGGAAGGCCCAGACAGCCAGGAUGUUGGCUUAGAAGCAGCCAUCAUUUAAAGAAAGCGUAAUAGCUCACUGGUCGAGUCGGCCUGCGCGGAAGAUGUAACGGGGCUAAACCAUGCACCGAAGCUGCGGCAGCGACACUAUGUGUUGUUGGGUAGGGGAGCGUUCUGUAAGCCGUUGAAGGUGGCCUGUGAGGGUUGCUGGAGGUAUCAGAAGUGCGAAUGCUGACAUAAGUAACGAUAAUGCGGGUGAAAAACCCGCACGCCGGAAGACCAAGGGUUCCUGUCCAACGUUAAUCGGGGCAGGGUGAGUCGACCCCUAAGGCGAGGCCGAAAGGCGUAGUCGAUGGGAAACAGGUUAAUAUUCCUGUACUUGGUGUUACUGCGAAGGGGGGACGGAGAAGGCUAUGUUGGCCGGGCGACGGUUGUCCCGGUUUAAGCAUGUAGGCGGAUGUUCCAGGUAAAUCCGGAACGUCACUAACGCUGAGGUGUGAUGACGAGGCACUACGGUGCUGAAGUGACAAAUGCCCUGCUUCCAGGAAAAGCCUCUAAGCAUCAGGUAACAUCAAAUCGUACCCCAAACCGACACAGGUGGUCAGGUAGAGAAUACCAAGGCGCUUGAGAGAACUCGGGUGAAGGAACUAGGCAAAAUGGUGCCGUAACUUCGGGAGAAGGCACGCUGAUGGUAAGUGAAGUGACUUGCUCAUGGAGCUGAAAUCAGUCGAAGAUACCAGCUGGCUGCAACUGUUUAUUAAAAACACAGCACUGUGCAAACACGAAAGUGGACGUAUACGGUGUGACGCCUGCCCGGUGCCGGAAGGUUAAUUGAUGGGGUUAUCCUCGCGGAGAAGCUCUUGAUCGAAGCCCCGGUAAACGGCGGCCGUAACUAUAACGGUCCUAAGGUAGCGAAAUUCCUUGUCGGGUAAGUUCCGACCUGCACGAAUGGCGUAAUGAUGGCCAGGCUGUCUCCACCCGAGACUCAGUGAAAUUGAACUCGCUGUGAAGAUGCAGUGUACCCGCGGCAAGACGGAAAGACCCCGUGAACCUUUACUAUAGCUUGACACUGAACACUGGUCCUUGAUGUGUAGGAUAGGUGGGAGGCUUUGAAGUGUGGACGCCAGUCUGCAUGGAGCCAUCCUUGAAAUACCACCCUUUAAUGGCUGGUGUUCUAACGUGGGCCCGUAAUCCGGGUUGCGGACAGUGUCUGGUGGGUAGUUUGACUGGGGCGGUCUCCUCCUAAAGAGUAACGGAGGAGCACGAAGGUCAGCUAAUCCUGGUCGGACAUCAGGAGGUUAGUGCAAUGGCAUAAGCUGGCUUGACUGCGAGCGUGACGGCGCGAGCAGGUGCGAAAGCAGGUCAUAGUGAUCCGGUGGUUCUGAAUGGAAGGGCCAUCGCUCAACGGAUAAAAGGUACUCCGGGGAUAACAGGCUGAUACCGCCCAAGAGUUCAUAUCGACGGCGGUGUUUGGCACCUCGAUGUCGGCUCAUCACAUCCUGGGGCUGAAGUAGGUCCCAAGGGUAUGGCUGUUCGCCAUUUAAAGUGGUACGCGAGCUGGGUUUAGAACGUCGUGAGACAGUUCGGUCCCUAUCUGCCGUGGGCGCUGGAGAAUUGAGGGGGGCUGCUCCUAGUACGAGAGGACCGGAGUGGACGCAUCACUGGUGUUCGGGUUGUCAUGCCAAUGGCAUUGCCCGGUAGCUAAAUGCGGAAGAGAUAAGUGCUGAAAGCAUCUAAGCACGAAACUUGCCCCGAGAUGAGUUCUCCCUGACUCCUUGAGGGUCCUGAAGGAACGUUGAAGACGACGACGUUGAUAGGCCGGGUGUGUAAGCGCAGCGAUGCGUUGAGCUAACCGGUACUAAUGAACCGUGAGGCUUAACCUU